UACGUAGGGUGCAAGCGUUAAUCGGAAUUACUGGGCGUAAAGCGUGCGCAGGCGGUUGUGUAAGUCUGUCGUGAAAUCCCCGGGCUCAACCUGGGAAUUGCGAUGGAGACUGCACGGCUAGAGUGUGUCAGAGGGGGGUAGAAUUCCACGUGUAGCAGUGAAAUGCGUAGAUAUGUGGAGGAAUACCGAUGGCGAAGGCAGCCCCCUGGGAUAACACUGACGCUCAUGCACGAAAGCGUGGGGAGCAAACAGG
rnacentral:rRNA from 1 species